rnacentral:lncRNA from 10 species
AGGUGGGCGGCAAGAGCCGGGGGAGGCAGCAGGACCGCCCUCCCGGGCGGGGCGGGGCCCCCACGCCUCAAGCAGGUGCUGCGCCGCUAAGCUCCAGUCGCCCUGCAGGGACCCGCUCAGCACAGGCAGCCUUCAGAGCAGGAAUGAGGAUGGCCAAGGGUUCGUAUGGAAGAGAAAUGGCCUUCGUUGGGGGUCCCAUACAGGACAUCGGAGAACUCCUAAGGGGACAACUAGGACGCCUGUCAUGGCAGGAAAAGGGAACGUAAUAGAAUGAGUUUGAAGGAAUGGUAGAAAAGCAAAUGAGAAACACCUUCUGCCUUAGUUGAGGGUAGCUUCUGCUUAUGUGGAUUGACCUGAAGCUUUACUACUUCAAGGUUGUCUGUGACAGCUUUCACACUACAGCAGCAGAGUUGAGCAGCUGCAACAAAGACCAAGACCGUAUGGUGUGCGAAGCGGGAAGACAGGUACUACCUGUCUCUUUACAGAAAAUGCUUGCCACUGAUUAAGGCCACCUCCUCUCAUAAGUCCCUGCUGCUAAUGGAGCAAAGAACACACUAAAUCUGCAGUGGUCGAGGGCAGGUCAUCAUCUGGGCAUCGGAAACCACCAUGUCUUGUGGCAAAUGUAACCACCAUCAAACUCCUCCAUGAAAUUUGUAGAUUGUUUCUGUUUGCUGAUAAGUCCCUACUGAGAAUGUAUUAUGACAUCCAUUUUUCCUAUUUUCCAUUAAAGUAGAAUCCUCAAAGUCAAAUGAUUAAAAAUUAUUAUAUAGAGAAAUUGGUAUGUUUAAGUUAUCGAAAAAGAAGCAUAGUAAAGUGGC